rnacentral:rRNA from 1 species
GAUACGACCGUACCGCAAACCGACACUGGUGCGCGAGAUGAGUAUUCUAAGGCGCUUGAGAGAACUCAGGAGAAGGAACUCGGCAAAUUGACACCGUAACUUCGGAAGAAGGUGUGCCCUAUUAGUGUGUAGUGAACAACGAAGCAUGAAUGGGUUGCAAAAAAUCGGUGGCUGCGACUGUUUAUUAAAAACACAGCACUCUGCAAACACGAAAGUGGACGUAUAGGGUGUGACGCCUGCCCGGUGCUGGAAGAUUAAAUGAUGGGGUGCAAGCUCUUGAUUGAAGUCCCAGUAAACGGCGGCCGUAACGAUAACGGUCCUAAGGUAGCGAAAUUCCUUGUCGGGUAAGUUCCGACCUGCACGAAUGGCGUAACGAUUGCCACACUGUCUCCUCCUGAGACUCAGCGAAGUUGAAAUGUUUGUGAUGAUGCAAUCUCCCCGCGGAAAGACGGAAAGACCCCAUGAACCUUUACUGUAGCUUUGUAUUGGACUUUGAACAGAUCUGUGUAGGAUAGGUGGGAGGCUUUGAAGCAGGGUCGCUAGAUCUUGUGGAGCCAACGUUGAAAUACCACCCUGGUGUGUUUGAGGUUCUAACCUAGGUCCAUUAUCUGGAUCGGGGACAGUGCAUGGUAGGCAGUUUGACUGGGGCGGUCUCCUCCCAAAGCGUAACGGAGGAGUUCGAAGGUACGCUAGUUACGGUCGGACAUCGUGACGAUAGUGCAAUGGCAUAAGCGUGCUUAACUGCGAGACUGACAAGUCGAGCAGAUGCGAAAGCAGGACAUAGUGAUCCGGUGGUUCUGUAUGGAAGGGCCAUCGCUCAACGGAUAAAAGGUACUCUGGGGAUAACAGGCUGAUACCGCCCAAGAGUUCAUAUCGACGGCGGUGUUUGGCACCUCGAUGUCGGCUCAUCUCAUCCUGGGGCUGUAGCCGGUCCCAAGGGUAUGGCUGUUCGCCAUUUAAAGAGGUACGUGAGCUGGGUUUAAAACGUCGUGAGACAGUUUGGUCCCUAUCUUCCGUGGGCGCUGCAGAUUUGAGGAAGCCUGCUCCUAGUACGAGAGGACCGGAGUGGACACACCUCUGGUGUAUCGGUUGUCACGCCAGUGGCAUUGCCGAGUAGCUAAGUGUGGAAGAGAUAACCGCUGAAAGCAUCUAAGCGGGAAACUCGUUUCAAGAUGAGAUCUGCCGGGGCCUUGAGCCCCCUAAAGAGUCGUUCAAGACCAGGACGUUGAUAGGUCAGGUGUGGAAGCG